GUGGGGAAUUUUGGACAAUGGGCGCAAGCCUGAUCCAGCAAUGCCGCGUGCAGGAAGAAGGCCUUCGGGUUGUAAACUGCUUUUGUACGGAACGAAACGGUCCUGGCUAAUAUCCGGGGCUAAUGACGGUACCGUAAGAAUAAGCACCGGCUAACUACGUGCCAGCAGCCGCGGUAAUACGUAGGGUGCGAGCGUUAAUCGGAAUUACUGGGCGUAAAGCGUGCGCAGGCGGUGCUGUAAGACAGGCGUGAAAUCCCCGGGCUCAACCUGGGAAUUGCGCUUAGGACUGCAGUGCUGGAGUGGGGCAGAGGGGGAUGGAAUUCCGCGUGUAGCAGUGGAAUGCGUAGAUAUGCGGAGGAACACCGAUGGCGAAGGCAAUCCCCUGGGCCUGCACUGACGCUCAUGCACGAAAGCGUGGGGAGCAAACAGGAUUAGAAACCCGAGUAGUCC
rnacentral:rRNA from 1 species